rnacentral:rRNA from 1 species
GACGGACGCUGGCGGCGUGCUUAACACAUGCAAGUCGAACGGAAAGGCCCCUUCGGGGGUACUCGAGUGGCGAACAGGUGAGUAACACGUGAGUAACCUGCCCUUGACUUCGGGAUAACUUCAGGAAACUGGGGCUAAUACCGGAUAGGAAUCCUUGCUGCAUGGUGGGGGUUGGAAAGCUUCGGCGGUUUUGGAUGGACUCGCGGCUUAUCAGCUUGUUGGUGGGGUAGUGGCUUACCAAGGCUUUGACGGGUAGCCGGCCUGAGAGGGCGACCGGCCACAUUGGGACUGAGAUACGGCCCAGACGCCUACGGGAGGCAGCAGGGGGGAAUAUUGCACAAUGGGCGGAAGCCGGAUGCAGCAACGCCGCGUGCGGGAGGACGGCCUUCGGGUUGGAAACCGCUUUCAGCAGGGGCGAAGCUUGUGGUGACGGUACCUGCAGAAGAAGCACCGGCUAACUACGUG